CAGUUUAAUCGAGUGCAGACUUUCUCUCAACCUGCGAUCAUGCGCAACCCCUAUUUGACAAGAACCGACAACUGACCAGCCUCCUGGAGACACGUUGCCAUGGUGAUCGGAAAACCUGUGGUCAGCAGGACACCUCCGCCUGAGGGCUUAUUUCCUACAGCACCCAUUAGAUACCAUCAGCGGAGGAAACGGGACACACACUGCGUGUUUUUGUGGACAGCCAGAUUUUCUCUCAACUCUGCGAUCAUGCGCGUGACUCCCGUGUGACAAGAACCGAGAACUGACCAGCUGCCCGGACACGCGUUGCCAUGGUGAUUGGAAACCCUGCAUGACGUCAAUAGGACGCCUCCCUCUGAGGUCUUAUAGCCGAGUGCUGCUGGUUGAGGUGCGGGCAUGGUUGUGUGACAACUACAGGUAUUCAUAAUUAGUAGAGAGAGAAAGAGAAGUAGUGUGUAUGGAUAUUACAGUGCUAGAUACACCAAAGUACACUACCUACAGUAAGUCACUCAUCUAAACAUCAGAGAAACACACUAUGGGCAAUUUAGAGGCACCCAUAGACUUGAAAAGAAUGUCUUUGGACUGUGGGAGGAAACCUGUAGGAAGUUUUUUUUAUUACAAUCAGAACUUAGAACUCUGAUUAAAACUGGCAUGCUUGACAUCAUAAUC
rnacentral:lncRNA from 1 species